rnacentral:tRNA from 1 species
GAAGGCCUGUGUAACUUUAGUACACAUCUCCUGAAUGCAACCCA